CUUGUAUUGGGACACCUGGAACCAUACAAGGCAGGGCAAACAAAACCUUGGCAGGACUAGAGAGAGCAGAGAUGUAAUGAGCACGUGUAACAGUACACACCAGGAACCAGACGCGCAAGUUCCCUCUGUAAAUGGCACUUUCCCCAGACAUUGAAUGGAAGGAAAAGACAGCUCAGGGGCCAGGGGCUCUUCC